rnacentral:rRNA from 1 species
GAAUCUGACGGAAGGGAAGAACAAAUGUGUAAGUAACUGUGCACCUCUUGACGGUACCUAAUCAGAAAGCCACGGCUAACUACGUGCCAACAGCCGCGGUAAUACGUAGGUGGCAAGCGUUAUCCGGAAUUAUUGGGCGUAAAGCGCGCGUAGGCGGUUUUUUAAGUCUGAUGUGAAAGCCCACGGCUCAACCGUGGAGGGUCAUUGGAAACUGGAAAACUUGAGUGCAGAAGAGGAAAGUGGAAUUCCAUGUGUAGCGGUGAAAUGCGCAAAGAUAUGGAGGAACACCAGUGGCGAAGGCGACUUUCUGGUCUGUAACUGACGCUGAUGUGCGAAAGCGUGGGGAUCAAACAGGAUUAAAUACCCUGGUAGUCCACGCCGUAAACGAUGAGUGCUAAGUGUUAGGGGGUUUCCGCCCCUUAGUGCUGCAGCUAACGCAUUAAGCACUCCGCCUGGGGAGUACGACCGCG